rnacentral:rRNA from 1 species
UACAGAGGUCUCAAGCGUUGUUCGGAUUCAUUGGGCGUAAAGGGUGCGUAGGUGGCGAGGCAAGUCGGAUGUGAAAUCCCGGGGCUCAACCCCGAAACUGCAUUUGAUACUGCCUUGCUCGAGUACUGGAGAGGAGAUUGGAAUUUACGGUGUAGCAGUGAAAUGCGUAGAUAUCGUAAGGAAGACCAGUGGCGAAGGCGAAUCUCUGGACAGUUACUGACACUGAGGCACGAAGGCCAGGGGAGCAAACGGG